rnacentral:rRNA from 1 species
GAUGAACGCUGGCGGCGUGCUUAACACAUGCAAGUCGAACGGAAAGGCUCCUGCUUGCAGGGGUACUCGAGUGGCGAACGGGUGAGUAACACGUGGGUGAUCUGCCCUGCACUUCGGGAUAAGCCUGGGAAACUGGGUCUAAUACCGGAUAGGACGAUGGUUUGGAUGCCAUUGUGGAAAGUUGUUCGGUGUGGGAUGAGCUCGCGGCCUAUCAGCUUGUUGGUGGGGUAAUGGCCUACGAAGGCGUCGACGGGUAGCCGGCCUGAGAGGGUGUACGGCCACAUUGGGACUGAGAUACGGACCAGACUCCUACGGGAGGCAGCAGGGGGGAAUAUUGCACAAUGGGCGCAAGCCUGAUGCAGCGACGCCGCGUGGGGGAUGACGGCCUUCGGGUUGUAAACUCCUUUCGCUAGGGACGAAGCGCAAGUGACGGUACCUGGAGAAGAAGCACCGGCUAACUACGUG